rnacentral:rRNA from 1 species
CCCCUAGAUGUUCUGGGCCGCACGCGCGCUACACUGAACAGUUCAACAAGUCUUAACCUUGGCCGAUAGGUCUGGGUAAUCUUUGAACGCUGUUCGUGAUUGGGAUAGACCUUUGCAAUUAUGGGUCUUCAACGAGGAAUUCCUAGUAAACGCAAGUCAUCAGCUUGCAUUGAUUACGUCCCUGCCCUUGUACACACCGCCCGUCGCACCUACCGAUUGAAUGGUCCGGUGAAAUCUCGGGACGGCGGCUUGGUCGCUUGCGUCCGACUGCUGAAACUUGAUUAAACCAUAUCAUUUAGAGGAAGGUGAAGUCGUANCA